AACGAACGCUAGCGGUGUGGAUUAGGCAUGCAAGUCGCGCGCGAAAGCCUUCGGGCGAGUAAAGCGGCGAAAGGGUGAGUAACACGUAACCAACGUACCCCUCAGACUGGGAUAACCACUGGAAACGGUGGAUAAUACCGGAUGGUCCACUGGGCAGCAUUGCCUGGCUGGUAAACGGCGGCCGCAAGGCGGUUGCUGAGGGAGCGGGUUGCGGCCUAUCAGCUUGUUGGUGAGGUAACGGCUCACCAAGGCUAUGACGGGUAACAGGUCUGAGAGGAUGAUCUGUCACACUGGGACUGAGACACUGCCCAGACUCCUACGGGAGGCUGCAGUCGAGAAUCUUCCACAAUGGGCGAAAGCCUGAUGGAGCGACACCGCGUGCAGGAUGAAGGCCU
rnacentral:rRNA from 1 species